rnacentral:rRNA from 1 species
UCGCCAGGAGACAACGAGCGCCAUAGCUUAAAACCCAAAGGACUUGGCGGUGCUUUAAACCCCCCUAGAGGAGCCUGUUCUAGAAUCGAUAAUCCCCGUUAAACCUCACCCUCUCUUGUUCAUUCCCGCCUAUAUACCGCCGUCGUCAGCUUACCCUGUGAAGGCCUAAUAGUAAGCAAAAUUGGCACAGCCCAAUACGUCAGGUCAACGUGUAGCGUACGAGAGGGGAAGAAAUGGGCUACAUUUACUGAACCAGUAAAUACGGAUCUUGCACUGAAAUAAUGCUUGUGAAGGAGGAUUUAGUAGUAAGAAGAGAAUAGAGUGCUCUCCUGAAACCGGCCCUAAAGCGCGCACACACCGCCCGUCACCCU